rnacentral:rRNA from 1 species
AUUGAACGCUGGCGGCAGGCUUAACACAUGCAAGUCGAGCGGGGGAGGUUGCUUCGGUAACUGACCUAGCGGCGGACGGGUGAGUAAUGCUUAGGAAUCUGCCUAUUAGUGGGGGACAACAUUCCGAAAGGAAUGCUAAUACCGCAUACGUCCUACGGGAGAAAGCAGGGGAUCUUCGGACCUUGCGCUAAUAGAUGAGCCUAAGUCGGAUUAGCUAGUUGGUGGGGUAAAGGCCUACCAAGGCGACGAUCUGUAGCGGGUCUGAGAGGAUGAUCCGCCACACUGGGACUGAGACACGGCCCAGACUCCUACGGGAGGCAGCAGUGGGGAAUAUUGGACAAUGGGCGGAAGCCUGAUCCAGCCAUGCCGCGUGUGUGAAGAAGGCCUUUUGGUUGUAAAGCACUUUAAGCGAGGAGGAGGCUACUUAGAUUAAUACUCUAGGAUAGUGGACGUUACUCGCAGAAUAAGCACCGGCUAACUCUGUGCCAGCCGCCGCCGUAAGAC